rnacentral:rRNA from 1 species
CCCUUAGAUGGUCUGGGCGGCACGCGCGCUACAAUGAUGCAUUCAAAAAGUCUUCUGACCUUAGAAGGUUGGGUAUUCUCCAAAGUGCAUCGUGAUGGGAAUAGUUUAUUGCAAUUUUUAAUCUUGAACGAGGAAUUCCUAGUAAGUACAGGUCAUCAACUUGUGUUGAUUACGUCCCUGCCCUUUGUACACACCGCCCGUCGCUCCUACUGAUUGAGUGUCUCGGUGAAUUCUUUGAUCUUCUGUCGAUUCAGUUCACUGAUCCGACGGUGGAAAGUUGAAUGAACUUCGUCACUUAGAGGAAGGAGAAGGCGGAACA